ACACACACAUUUCCAACCACGUCAGUAUUCAGCAGAAAGAGUGUGGUGGACUAACAUUAUAUACUUUCCCUCAGCUCGAGGAAGACAGUACCAGGGACACUCAGGAAGUUGACGCUAGAUGGCAGCGUUGAUGUUUGUGACAAAAUGAUAGAUGCAGAUGUGUUGAAUCCAUUGUUUGCUCUGCAAAAAGAAGGACCAUUCAGAAUGAGAAGAGCAGAGUGCUAGCUAGGCCA